CUCUCUCCACAGUAUCAUAGGUAAUGUAAUCCAGUAUUUCGAGGUCAGUUAUGCACAUUACAGUUGUUUAUUGCAUAAAAAGUUAUUGAAAAAUGAAGUUAAGGGCGAAGUAUAAAUCACGUCUAAAAAUAGACUGAAUCCCGACGCGGGGGUGCGUGUCUCGGAACCCACCGCAUUCACCCUCUCGCAAACUUUCUCCCACUCCAAGCGUUUUUGUUUUGCACUGACGCCACUGGACAGGCUGCCAAACAAAACACGCUGUCGCUCCUCCACCUCCGCCACCAGCACCUCCACCUCGCACGCCGUAAAUGUAGUUUUUCUUGUCAUUUUGUCUGCGUGCGAGGACAGGGAGACCCUAUUUAAAUAAAUCUGCAUAUUUAUAGGAGGGCGUAACGGGGACGGGCCCAGUCACUCCGACAUCUGCGCUCAAUUCCACGCUGAUUGGGAUUUAUCAAGGAAACACACGUGGAUUUCGGCGCCCGCACACAUUGAUACAUACGGAUUUUUUUCAGCGUGACGGACCUUGCGUGCGCUCGUUUCUGGUAUGAGUUCCACGCAAGUGUUGAUACAUGAGGCCCCUGGAGAGUAAGCAGUCCCCUCUCUAGCUUUUGUAGAAAUCACCCUGAGAACUCUCCUGAUAUUAUUGCUGCAUGAGAUGACAUUUUGAAGCUGCUGGAACAGAGAUGUUGAUUUUGUUUUCAUGUUUGGCCGUGUGGUUCUGUUUUUUCCGGGACUUGCAGGACUUAUUUCUGACAGUCCAAAUAUGUUGACAUGCACACGGAGGACUCUCUCAUCUUUCAUUGCACUUCUGCCUUCCUCUCAAUAACCAUAGCCAUUUGACCAUAACACUGUGUCAGUUUGCACCUGCCUUUCAAAUGUGAUAAAUAGAAGUGCCACAAAAACACCAAACUCAAUCAGUUCCAGGGUUUGAUAAAUCACAUUGCAGGUGCGAAAUGAUUAGCCUACAUUUACAUCUUCUCCUCCCAGUAUUUUGUGUGUUCUGAUGAUUUACAUACAUUCUGUACAUUCAUGAAGGCAAACACGCUAACUGGAUUGCACAUGCUAGUUUGCUCAUUUGAUAUACACAAUCCUCAGUGCACCCGGUUAGUAGAUCAGCCUUGCGUGCGCUAUCAAGUUUGCAGACCUUUACUUGAUCAGGCCCAAUGUGUACAAGCACAAGUCUAAAAAUGUUUUUUUACACACAAAGAAAUGCACAAAAAUGCAAAAGCCAGUCAGACUCAUACAGACUAUUAAUCAUAUGCACAUAUACAUGUUGAUUUUUGGUCAUCUAAACUGUGAGGAACAUGUUAAAAUAACAGGUUCAUUUAUGAAAUAUGAGAUGGUAUACAAGUGAUGUACUUACAUAAGACUCUUAUAAUAUAAAACUACUGUGAUAGCAGGUUAGUGGUACAAUCAAAAGAAAGAAAGAAAAAGAAAGAGAGAAAGAUGCAGACUUAAAAAAAAAUGCAAAAACUGGAGCAAAGUGAAAUUUGUUUAAAAUGUAUGGUCAAAGGAAGGAUAAACCUUUGGGACAGUCAUAGGAUUGAAAGUCAUUACCUUUACACCAGAAUCACAUGCUUCUGCAAAAGGUCAGGUGUACUCACUCUGUAGUUCAGCAGAGUCAUACAGUAUUCAUGAUAUCUGAAUAAUUGAAGCUUUACAUUAUGAUGUAAGUUUCGCCCUGAGCAACAGUCAAGAAAAUAAAGGUGAUAGAAAGAGAAUCAGAAAGUAUCUUCAAGCGUUCAACCCUUAAACCCUCUGAUGGAACAGUGCAGCUGCAGUUUAGGACUGUGGAGAAAGCUGAAAGCUGCACAGAGUCCACUGAGUCUGAGUAUCUGUGGAUUUUAGUGGAAAAAGUCAAGUUUGGGUUUAAAAGAAAAUUCAUGUUUAACAACCUGAAACGUCCUGUUUUCGGGGGUGCAAGUUGAAACAUGUUGUGGAAAUCUUUCUUAAUGUACAAAAGAUUUCCAUAAAAGCAACAUAAAUGGGACUAAACUCAAAAUUUGCACCCUUUAAUCACCGAAUAUAACUGGGAAUUUAAAUGAUCCUUUGUAAUCUGCUGAUGUGAUAAAAAGCUUGAGUCAUGAGACCUUUGACUGUUCAGCUUUUCAGAUGAAAAUGAGUCAAAAACAAUGAAAGAAGAGCAGCCAUGUUUCUAGAUCAGGUAGAUUUACAGUCUUUAACAUUUCAAGGGUGUGACAUUCAAAUUUACAUAAUUAUUCAUGAAUAUGUAAAUGACUCCAGAUGUUCAAUAACCAACAGAUGUGCUCUGCUCACACAUCACAGCUCAGUGUGAGAAAUCUGGAACAGUUGCAUGAGUAAUUUUCACAAUGCAUUUCAUCUCCAGUAAUAACUUGUUGAAAGGACUUUUUAUGUUCAAAAUCUACAAGAAAUCCAGGUUGAAAAUCCCUUAUUAAUACACAGCAAAAUUAACUGGAACAGACUGAGAGGGGCUGAGAUUUAACAAGUACGUAACACCACAAGGAGGCAACACAGCUCAGCACAGGACUCUAAAACAGUGAUUCUCAACUGAUGGGUUUAGAACUUUAAAAUAGCAUAGUGUUGCCAUGACACAAAAAUUUGGACUGAUAUCACAGUAUCCCAUGUUGUGUUGAUCCCUGAAACCAAAACACUAAUAAUACCUUAUGGAUCAUAAGCAUGAUGUCGACAGGCUUGGUUGGUAUUUGGAUUUCAUUUUUUUUCACCAACCAUGAUUAUAACAACAGGCCAAAUCCUUGGACACUUUCCUAAAGGAAUCAAUCACAUUUUUGUAUUUUUCCCGGAGUGCCACCAUCAAAGAAGUGGAAAGUAAGGUUAGCUUGUAGCCUGGUGCUAUUUAGCUGGAUAUCCAUUGGAAUAUAUAUGAGUUGCCCACAUAUCUGUAUUUUCAUAUUUUGUCCUUAUGGCGCUUACAUUUGAUGUGUUUUGACAAGUUUGCCAUGUUAUCUUACGGGGCUUUCACACCAAGUGCAAGUAAAAUCAUCUACUUGCUUUAUUCAUGCAAGUGUUGACUCAUGAAUACAUAGGGCUCUAUUUUCGUGCCUCGCCGGAGACGUGCCGCAAGCGCAGCGUCAGUCAGAUCCGCCGCGCUGACAAGGCGUUCCCAAGCACAUUUUGAUAUUUUGGUGAGCUGCGCAGCCCGGCGAAAGUAUCCCCCCUCCCUAACUCAGCUCCUCCCAGCAGCAUAAGUCGUAGACGGGGAGGAGAGAGGGCGUGGAGUGGGUUUAACACAGCCGAGACCUGUUUUCACCAAUCACAUAAGCUCCUCUCCUUGCCUUUAAAUCCGCCACAGGCGAGGCGUAUUACUAUUUUCAUUAAGUAGUCCGAGAGAUCAAGAGAUGUCUUAAGACAGUAAUGCCACAAGAUGGCGACAGAGGGCAGCUCCUCAACAAGUGUCCUCCAAACUCUCUCAUAUGAGCACAGAUGGAUUUGGUGUGUGUAAUGUUGGACCCAGUGGUAAGACAAACACCCUUUUCCACAAAUAAAGACACUCACAUAAAGUUGCUCAUAUUCAAACCUCACGUGACAAAGGUGGGUUGAGCGCACAGAUCACAACAUAAACUCCAAAAAUGGCAUUAAAAUCGGAACCAUCUGUGCGUAAAUGAUGCAUCGCGCUCCGUGGCCUGGCUCUUUCUUUCAUAGAUGUUGGCAUAUAAAAUAAAUUUGGCCCCCAAAACUGAAUAUCAUAAUAUCCGUAUGUCGGCUUAAAGUAGAUAACACAUCUGAGCACUGAAACAAAUCAUCUGUUCAGCUGCUGCAGCAAGACGGACAGAGGACACGGAGACGUGUCCAGGUCGAGCUGUGCGAGAAAUAAGAGGAAGAGGAAGAAAGAAAAGGAGGGAGAUGAAUUACAUAUCUUGUUAACUUCAUCAUUAUUUACUAGAUAUUUAAUUUAAUUUGAUGCGGUUUCAGCUGUGUUGAUUCGGUCAGGUUGUGUGUCCAAACGCGUGCCAAACGUGCUCAUCAGUUCAGAUAUAGAUCAGAAUAUAUCUAUAUAGAUCUAAAUGUAUGUGCUGACUCAGAUUAAUAGUUGAUGAUUAUUUAUUGCACUGAAAUGUGCCUGACACUGUGGAAACCUGCCGGUGAGGCAUCAGUGACGUAUGUCGAUACGCCGCCGGUCUACCAAAAUACUACUAGACCAGCUGCGCUCCGCCAUGCGCUGAAAGCUGACCAGGUUUGAAUCGGCGAGCUUUCAGCGCACUUUACACGCCGGUGGCGAGCACGAAAAUGUCACUGCGCCUGCUGAUUCUGUCGACACCUCCCCCUGCCACGCCACCACGCCCAGCUUGGCGGAUCUUGGCUCACUUCCGUGUGGCUCAGUCCACGAAAAUACCGAACUGGCCUUACGCCGGGCUCCGCCAGACGAAAAUACAACUGCGCGGGGCUCGCUGCCCUCCGCCGCCUCACCGGCGCACACGAAAAUAGAGGGUGGGUAGCCGUUUAUGCUAAUGUCCUUUCUCCUGGACACCACUCCUCAUCAAUCUCCAGAUCCGAUUGUGAUGACUUCGUGACGACUGGGAGUCGUAUUGGCUCUCGAGACUCUGACGCCGUGACAUCACUAGUACUGUGACGUAAACCACAUGGACUGCUCACCGGGACUGUUCCUGAAUUCCGGCUCAGUCUUGCUUAGUAGUACUGGCAUCGGCGGCACAACAACAUGCCGGGAAAUUGUUUCUCUGAUUGUCUGUUGACAAUGUGAAGGUCCAGUGUUGGGAACUCCACUGGAUCCAGAGACGGUAGCACCACGCCCACUGGAGCCAAUGCGCUGAGACUGUUAGCUCUUGACAAAUGACUUCAGUAUUUUCCUACUCUCCUCACAGGGAAAAAACACUCCUCAACUAGGCUAAUUGGCACACUUGAUGGCACACCUCUCACUGGCGAGUACUUCCAUUUGUUAUUGUAACAUGGUUAUGAUGUAUUUGUCGGCUUUCCUGUGUUCAGAACAACCCCAAACUUAGUUGCAUGUUGGGGAGGAGCGAAAAACAAAAAAACUGAAAAAUCCAUCAAUGGCACUCAGGGCGAAUAAAAAAAUCUGUCAAAAUCAGUCAUUGGCACUGAAUGGGUUAACAGAGAAAAUACUGUAUAUCCUGUUCAUCAGUUUUUCUUUGAAUAUGUUUUAUGCGCAGGUCUGACUUAUCCAUAGGGGACAGGGGUUACCUACCUGAAGCUGUAACUUUUUGCUUCAAUCACCCACACCAUGCAGUUUUUCAAAACCGCAACCAGCAAGGUCUCGGUCUACUGGCGAGUGUCACACCACCACUCACAGGAGAAAAUGCAAAAUGUUUUCUUGAUUCAAAUUCAACCAAAAUAACAGUUUGUCUCCAUAUCUGAACUUUUUUUUUCUUCUCUUUUCUUUCUCUGCACUGUGCUCAUCAGUCCACACAUAUGUUUACAUGCACAACAGAUAGAUUAAUGUUUUUGAAAAUACAGUUUGUACAAUGAAGAAGGUCUAGACCAGGGGCCCCAUGUAUCAACGCUUGCGGUGCAAGAAAACCUUGCGUACGCCAAAAUCGGCGCACACGUCCAGAUUUAUCAUCGCGAAACGAGCGUGGGUUCCAGCGCUAAUCAACGCAAAGUCAGGAGGUGGUGUAGAAAUUGGCGUUGAGCAGAUACUUGCGUUGACUGUGAUUCGCACUUUGGCGACGCUGUGUGGCGGUGUUUGGUGACUCACUAUGUGACAAGCGUGCACCACAUCCCCGUGGCCGAGCAGCACGUCGCCCCACAUGACGAACCAGCAGCAGACGGAGGGAUGCGAGCUGAUCCCUGCUGGGCCGCCGUCCUCACGCGGGAGAAUCUCAUCGCCACAGUGUGAAUGGGUAAGAAGUGAAUACACAGUUCAAUGAGCCAAAUUAAUUUAUUUUCUCCACCAGACGCUCGAGGACAUUUACGAGCCGGUCCAGCCGCUCGUUGAUCCCCGCGACCCCCCUGAUGAUUUCUUCCUGCGAUUGCAGGACCCCCUCCGCGAGGACCCUUCCACUGCGUCCGGGUGGUCCAGCGGAAGCGCCGCGGCUGGUGGACGCUCCACCGCUUGUCGGCACGCUGGUGCUGAUGCUGGUGCUGGGGCCGGGGGCCGGGGUGGCCCGAAUGCCGCUGGUCCUGGCCGACGACUCCGAGCCGGCGGACGGGCUGCCGUGGGCCGGGGUUCCGCAAGCCGGCGACACGGCCGACACAUUGAUUUCUGUGACACAAUAAAAAUAUUUGUUCAUUUCAAUUCCUGCUUCUGUGUAUCUGUUGCGUUUACAUCUCUCUCCACGGUAUCAUAGGUAAUGUAAUCCAGUAUUUAGAGGUCAGUUAUGCACAUUACAGUUGUUUAUUGCAUAAAAAGUUAUCGAAAAAUGAAGUUAAGGGCAAAGUAUAAAUCACGUCUAAAAAUAGACUGAAUCCCGACGUUGAAAUGAAGUAUAAACUUAGACUAGACGUCUAAUAUACGUCUUUUGCUCAGUGGGAUGACAAAGCAUGUGGACAUUUGUGUGACACGCCACUUACCCUAUAAUAAUAAUCGCCACCACUCGCUGCUCAAACGGUGUGAGGGUCUCCUCCCCCGGACCCCCACCUGUCUGGCCAGUACUCCUCCGGAG